AAAAAAAAAAAAUGAAAAGAAAGCAAAAAUAGGUAAAAGUCCUCCUGCACUCACACAUUCCAGUCAAACUUUAUCUCUCACAACAUAACAAGAAAUAGAACAAAAACAAAGAAGAAGCAAGAAACCUGUUGGGUGUUUCCUUUGACGCUACCUCCUUUAUCAAACUCGCUAGUCAACCAUUUAUCAAAUUCAAAAUAAAAAAAUAAAAAUAAGUAAAAAAAAAAAAAUCGAUUUCACUAAAAGAGGACCCAACUCUGCGCUCCCUCUUUUCAAUCUUUACGCAUGUACUAUUUGGUUCAAAUGGAGCUCUCAAUUCCCAUCUCCUACUCCAUCUUCCUCUCGAUUUACAAAUUUUGCCAGCGAUUCUAAUUUCCUAUUCUCAUUAUCAAUGGCCAAAAAGAAAAAAAAAGGCCAAAACACCAAAUGCGAAAUCACUAUUCCAAUAGCGAAUAAUAGAAGUUUCUAUUGUUCCAUCAUAAAAUGAAUUGGGGCUUGGAAAUGGAUGGUUGAUAGAUUAAAACGGUGACACUUUGUAUAUAGGUAGCUUGAAUUUGGAUCUGAAAAUAGAUGCUUUCUUUUCUUUUCCCACAUCUACAGUAUCUCACAAGAUAGGAGGCACUUUUAUAGUAUUUAGGGAUUCAACGGAUGAAAGAAGAAGAAAUGGUUUAAUAGGGUAGGAGAGAG
rnacentral:lncRNA from 1 species